AGGUCACUGCUAUUGGGGUUCGAUUAAGCCAUGCGAGUCGACUGCCUUCUUCGGAAGGCAGGGCAGACGGCUCAGUAACACGUGGGCAAUCUACCCUCGGGUCUGGGAUAACCCCGGAAAACUGGGGAUAAUACCGGAUAGAUGGAGAGGUCUGGAAGGAUUUUCCGUCCAAAGCUCCGGCGCCCGAGGAUGAGCUUGCGGUCGAUUAGGCAGUUGGCGGUGUUAAGGACCACCAAACCUGAGAUCGAUACGGGCAGUGAGAGCUGGAGCCCGGAGAUGGGGACUGAGACACGGCCCCAGGCCCUACGGGGCGCAGCAGGCGCGAAAACUCCGCAAUGUUCGAAAGAACGACGGGGGAACCCCAAGUGCCUCAUCUUUUUUGAUGGGGCUUUUGCGUAGUGUAAAUAACUACACGAAUAAGGGCUGGGUAAGACCGGUGCCAGCCGCCGCGGUAACACCGGCGGCUCGAGUGGUGACCACUUUUAUUGGGCCUAAAGCGUUCGUAGCCGGUUCGGUAAGUCUUUGGGUAAAUCUUGCUGCUCAACAGUAAGAAUUCCGAAGAUACUGCCGGGCUAGGGACCGAGAGAGGUCGGAGGUACUCCCGGGGUAGAGGUGAAAUUCUGUAAUCCUGGGGGGACCACCAGUGGCGAAGGCGUCCGACUAGAGCGGGUCCGACGGUGAGGGGCGAAAGCCAGGGGAGCGAACCGGAUUAGAUACCCGGGUAGUCCUGGCCGUAAACGCUGUGGGCUAGGUGUUGCAUGCUCUACGGGGGCAUGCAGUGCCGAAGAGAAGUUGAUAAGCCUACCGCCUGGGAAGUACUACUGCAAGGUAGAAACUUAAAGGAAUUGGCGGGGGAGCACCACAAGGGGUGGAGUCUGCGGUUCAAUUGGAUUCAACGCCGGAAAUCUCACCGGGGGCGACGGCAGAAUGAUGGCCAGGCUGAAGACCUUGCUUGACGAGCCGAGAGGAGGUGCAUGGCCGCCGUCAGCUCGUACCGUGAGGCGUCCUGUUAAGUCAGGCAACGAGCGAGACCCGUGCCCUUAGUUGUCAGCGGAUGCCAUUGGCAUGCCGGACACAAUAAGGGGACCGCUGCUGAUAAAGCAGAUGAAGGAGCGGGCGACGGUAGGUCAGUAUGCCCCGGAUCUCCCGGGCUACACGCGGACUACAAUGGUUAGGACAGAGGGCCCCGACUUCGAAAGGAGAAGGAAAUCCCUAAACCUAGCCCUAGUUCAGAUUGUGGGCUGAAACCUGCCCACAUGAAGCCGGAAUCCCUAGUAAUCGCGUGUCAUUAUCGCGCGGUGAAUACGUCCCUGCUCCUUGCACACACCGCCCGUCACACCAUCCGAGUGAGGUCGAGGCAAGGCUAUUUCUUUAGUCAUUGUCGAGUCUGGAUUUCGCAAGGAGGGUGA
rnacentral:rRNA from 1 species